rnacentral:rRNA from 1 species
AAAACAUCGCCUCCUGCAACAUAGAUAAGUAUUGGAGGUCCAGCCUGCCCAGUGACCGCAAGUUUAACGGCCGCGGUAUUUUAACCGUGCAAAGGUAGCGCAAUCACUUGUCUUUUAAAUAAAGACCUGUAUGAAUGGCCAAACGAGGGCUUAACUGUCUCCCUUCUCUAGUCAGUGAAAUUGAUUUAUCCGUGCAGAAGCGGAUAUACUUAUACAAGACGAGAAGACCCUUUGGAGCUUAAGGUACAAAACUUUAAUCGCGUUAAAAAACUUAAUAAAAAGUAAGAACCUUGCGAAAUAUAAAAUUUUACCUUCGGUUGGGGCGACCACGGAGCAAAACAAAACCUUCAAGUGGAAAGGGACAUAUCCCCUAAAGCCAAGAGAAACAUCUCUAAGCCACAGAACAUCUGACCACAAAUGAUCCAAUAACUAUUAUUGAUCAACGAACCAAGUUACCCUAGGGAUAACAGCGCAAUCCUCUCCUAGAGCCCAUAUCGACGAGAGGGUUUACGACCUCGAUGUUGGACCAGGACACCCUAAUGGUGCAGCCGCUGUUAAGGGUUCGUUUGUUCAACGAUUAAAGUCCUACGUGA